GCUCUGUGAUGAAAACAAUGCGCGUCAUCUGACCUCUUGAGGUAUUUCAUACUCAGGGUUUUCCUGAGUGUGUAUAUCUUACUUGAGUUUGAAAGAUGAAAAUAUUUUCUGAGAGC
rfam:Stegodyphus mimosarum contig22728, whole genome shotgun sequence.